rnacentral:rRNA from 1 species
CCUACGGGAGACAGCAGUCGAGAAUCAUUCACAAUGGGGGAAACCCUGAUGGUGCGACGCCGCGUGGGGGAAUGAAGGUCUUCGGAUUGUAAACCCCUGUCAUGUGGGAGCAAAUUAAAAAGAUAGUACCACAAGAGGAAGAGACGGCUAACUCUGUGCCAGCAGCCGCGGUAAUCCAGAGGUCUCAAGCGUUGUUCGGAAUCACUGGGCGUAAAGCGUGCGUAGGCUGUUUCGUAAGUCGUGUGUGAAAGGCGCGGGCUCAACCCGCGGACGGCACAUGAUACUGCGAGACUAGAGUAAUGGAGGGGGAACCGGAAUUCUCGGUGUAGCAGUGAAAUGCGUAGAUAUCGAGAGGAACACUCGUGGCGAAGGCGGGUUCCUGGACAUUAACUGACGCUGAGGCACGAAGGCCAGGGGAGCGAAAGGGAGUAGAUACCCUUGUAGUC